rnacentral:lncRNA from 10 species
CCCUGCUCUCUAUCUUGCUCUUGCUGCGGCCAUCUAAGAUGUGCCUGCUUCUCUUUCACCUUCCACCGUGAUUGAAAAUUUCCUGAGUCCUCCUGACAAGCCGCUCUGCAUCCUGUACAGCUUGCAGAACUUUCUCAAAAGUAAGUGAGCUGUUCCUAAACCUAUUGGGUCUAGAAGUGGUCUCAGUUUAUGGGCAGCUGACGAUGUCUCACUAUGAAGAACUUGUCCUGAUGGUGUGCAGCUGCUGAAGAUGUAUAGCAGGGAUCUUCCAUGGGAGGUCCAAGAAGGCUGAUAUCUUCCAGGCUUGCCUAUAGGUAUAUGUGGCUCACAUGCCAAGAUGGGAACAAGUAAGUCUGAGCUUGGAGAACGUUUGAUACUGCUAAGCAGAGAAGAACCAGGGGUGAGUGAAUUUUGUGCAAUGGGGAAGAAUUCUUCACAUUGUGUGUACCAAAAUGCUAUGAACUAUUAAUAUAGUCAUGCUUUGCAUAACGAUGUUUCAGCCAACAAUAGAUCACAUAUACUAUGGUGGUCUCAUAAGAUUAUACUGGAGCUGAAAAAUUCCUCUUGUCUAGUGAAGUAGCCGUCAUAACGUAGUACACAAUGCAUUAUUCAUGUGUUUGUGGUGAUGCUGGUGUAAACAAACCUACUGCACUGCCAGUCAUAUGAAAGUGUAGCACAUACAAUUAUGUACAGUACAUAAUACUGGAUGAUGAUAAUAAACGACUGUGUAACUGAUUUAUGUAUUUACUAUGCUAUCCUUUUUAUUGCAAUUUUAGACUGUGCUCCUUCUACUUAUAAAGGAAUAAAAUUAACUGUAAAGCAUCCUUGGGCAGGUCCUUCAGGAGGUAUUCCGGAAGAGGGCAUUGUUAUCAUAGGAGAUGACAGCUCCAUCCUGUUACUGCCCCAAAGACCUUCCAGUGGGACAAGAUGUGGAGGUAGAAGACAGUGAUAUUAAUGAUCCUGACUCUGCGUAGGCCUAGGCUAAUGUGUGUGUGUCUUAGUUUUUAAAAAAGUUUAAAAAGUAAAAGACAAUUUAAAAAUUUUUAUUAGAAUAAAGCUUACAAAAUAAAGAUAUAAAGAAAG